rnacentral:rRNA from 1 species
UACAGAGACCUCAAGCGUUACUCGGAUUUACUGGGCGUAAAGGGUGCGUAGGUGGAAGUGUGUGUUAGGUGUGAAAUCCUGGAGCUCAACUCCAGUGCUGCAUCUAAAACUACAUUUCUAGAGUUGUGGAGAGGGUAGUGGAAUUUCUAGUGUAGCGGUAAAAUGCGUAGAUAUUAGAAAGAACACCAACGGCGAAGGCAGCUACCUGGCCACAAACUGACACUGAUGCACGAAAGCGUGGGGAGCAAAAAGG